AGUGUUUUUGGUGGCUGAUCUGACCUCUUCCCAAUAGGCUCUAGCCAGCUUUACACCCACUUUGCUUAUACCCGUGCAGCUGGAUGUGGCUGGAGAAUACACCACCUCUGAAUAGUUGUACUUUAAAUUCCUGAUCAUGAACUUUAGGUGGGCUUUUAAUGCUGCCUGGCAGUCAUACCAUAUUAUUCCUACUUCAUUCAUAUCGGUGACUCUCUCAGUUCCCCUGCCUUUCUCAAACCUUCAGCAUCUGUUUACCAUAUCAGUUCUCAGCUGAUUACCAUCUCCUUUUUUAACUGAGAAACUUGAAACAUAUUGCUUCCACGGACUAACAGACCCACUGUCAGUUCCUCCAUCACAUCAGCUGAACGCAUGACCUCUGCCUGUUCCUGCCACACGUGAGCUAUCUGCUCCCAUGUAAAGCUAGCCCCCUCCUUGCGCACUAAGCUCUCUCUCCUCAUACGCUCAUAAACAUUGCUCACUCAGCUCUCUGUUCUUUUCCUUGUCCUCAGUUUUCUUCCUCUAAUGCAUCAUUCCCAUCGUUAUACCAUGUGCUGUUAUUUCUCUCAUCAGAUGAAACAAUACUUCAUUUGACUCUGCUCCUCUUGUCGGCAGCUGUUCCAUUUCUCUCUUCCCUUUUGCAGUAAAUCUCCUCCAAGGAGUUGUCUGUACUCACUGUCUUCAAUUUCUCCUCUUCCACUUUUCUUUUAAAUUCACUGUAGUCAGACUUUCAGCCCCAUGACUUCAAUUUAACAUUGGCAGAAAGUCAAUUUAAAAUUUGCUUUUAAAAUCAUAAGUUUUAUUUGAAGCGGAGUGUUAUUCACAGCACUUUAAUUUCCUUUGCUAAGUAUAAUAUAUUUAGAGAAAUGUGUAGAUUUACCAUCCAUCCAUAGUUGCUAUGGUUAUAUCAUAAAGAGGUAUUAAAAUGGUAACAAAUUUUAAUUGCUGUUGUAUCAUAUUGGGUAUCAUACUUGCUGGCUUUGUACUAUUGGGCUCCAUAUGUCUUUUUUGGUGACUGUUCCUUAAUCUUUCCUACUACUAAGAAGUUGUCUAGUUUUGACCAAGCAGAUGGUUUCAAGUUUCUCUCUAAUAUGUUGAAUGAAGUUGUGAAUGAAUAACUGAGCUGAGUGAGCAUGAAGACAGUUAGCAUGCAGGAAGUUUAGUGUAGAAGGACAAUAAACUAUUCAGCAAAGUUAAUGCGAUGUAUAAUUAAUGAUAUCCAUAAUUGAUAAUGAGUUAUAUGCUUUAGCUUUAGUUGUCUGUUAAAAGUUCUUCUGAGGAUAUGGAGUUGCACUAGAAUUCUUUUAAAAUUCUCUAAUUAUGAUCCCUCAAGGCCACCUUCUUUCAUGCAAGGAUUAUAAAAAAUCUAGGUCUUCAGUUGGUUAUACCUAUGAAACUGAGAGCCAGAUUAGUUUGCUCAAAAAUAUUGAAUAUGAUCAAUUUGUUGUUGUUUUUCAGUCUUUUAUAUAAUUGUAACAUAUAUAAUAAGAGACAUUCACCUGAGUGAGUAGUCUUGUGGACAGGUUAUUGGUUAUAUCUGGCAUAGUUGCCCAAAUGCCAUCACUUUAUUUCCUGCACAAGGAAACAUGGAAAUCCAAGUUAGCCAGAGGAAUGUUACUACAGGGAGAGAUUUGAAUUCAGGUGUUGUUAUGCUUGGCAAGUUACUUAUGACAUACCUACCAAAUGAUCCCAAUAGACCAUACUCGGGAAUUACUGGACAUUGUCUUGUAACAGCAUAUUCUUUCCAUUCAACAAAUAUAAUUCCACGAACAAAAUAUGGUUGUAGACUAAUGUGGUAGCGGGGGAAAUGAAAAAAGCAAGGAAUGAUUGAAAAACAAUAUUCAGAAAUUAGUGAGAAAUUACAUGUAGAGGGGUGAAAGAAAAAGAAAUGUGAAAAAUGACUCUAAGCUCUUGAACUUAGGGUCUGGCUUGGUGAUGCUAUUGGUGGAAAUAGGUAAAUUAGGAAGCGUUUCUUGAAAGAAAAAAAAUGUUUCACUACUUUAAAGUUAAGAAUAUGUUUAAUCGGCAUGCUUCCUCUUGGUGUGAAUGAAUUCUCUGCAUAAUGUGAAUUGUAUUACACCAACAUAAAAGAAUUUCUUUAUCGUAUUCCCACCCUAAAGGAUAUUACCGAACUUUACCAAACCUGUGGUUGCUAUUGUAUCCUCAUAUAUUCCAUUUUAUACUCCCUGCCUGCCCCUCUCCAUAGAUGGUAUUUCAGGAACUAGUCUUAAAACCAUGUACAGUUCUAAUGUAGCUGGCAAAACUCUAACCCCAUUGAAAACAGGAAUUCAACAUAAAGUAGCAUUAUUUCCUUAUUUUGACAGAGAUUAUAAUUAGCAUUUUAGGACUUACGGUAGUAUCUGUUGACAGUUCUGAGGUAUACACUUAAGAAUGACUCACUAUCCUGACUCACUUGUUCAAGUUCACUGUCAUUCAGAAGCCCUUUUAUUCUGCUGUUCUUUUUCUGGCUUUUAUUUUUUUCCUGAUGAAUAGAAUUAUUGUAGUAAGUCUCACAUUGCUGAAUAUAACCUUUGUUUUCUCUUAAUUGGUGUGUAUAUGCCACGCCUCUAGGCAUAGUCAAGCCUUUUGCUUACGAUGGCUGGCAUUUUGUUGUUUAGUCUCGGCAGGAAGUACGGUAGGGUGAGAGUUGGUAGUGUGUAAGAGCCGUGAGACAGCAAGCUCUGUGGUUAAUAGGGUGAAUGUGUAAAUACUGUAUCAUUUACUUCAGCGAAAAUAUGCACCUAUUGUUUGGGAAUGUACUAUAACUUUAGCUGUACCCAAUUAAAGCCUGUUCCAGGAAGUACCAUCAGGUCUCGUAAAUAUUUCUGCUCAACAAUUGAGCUGGCCCAUUUAUUUCAAAGAAUAUUUGAUCAAACAAAAUUCCAGGGAAGUAAAUAGUCCUUGAGUUUGUGAUAGGAGCUGACCAGUAGCUUAAGACUAGAUGAAUAGACCUAAACAAUCCAUUAUAGAACUACUUACGGAUGUUAACAUACAGUUAGAUGCCCAAGAUUUGGAGACUGAGAGGCCUGGGUGUGGUUUGUGGCACCACCACCUUAUGGCUGUGUAAUGGCCAGUGCCACCCUCCCUAAGUCUGCAGUGGUUCCUAUGUCACCAGGGUUUUGAUUAGGAUUAAAUUAGGAAGUUCUCGUUAGUUCAUUUAGUCAUUCAGUAAGUUUAGUGAGCAUCAGUUUGGUGUCAGGCACUGUAUCACCACUGGUUUACAGUGGAAAAUAAAAUGACAUGGACUGACCUCUGGGUCCAGUGGAGAAGACAGAAAGCAAGCAAACAAACAGAUAAUUUACAGUUGCGGUAUUUCUGUCAGGAAGAUAUCAAGGCACCGUAAGAGGACCACUGAAGGGGCAGCUCCUAGGUUGACAAGGGAAGAGUGGCAGGAGUCAGCCAGCCAGUCAGCAUAGAGGGGAGAGCUCCGGCUGGAGCGAACAGAAUAUUCCAUGGUCCUGACUCAAAAAACAGAGGUGGGGUGGUGGCGGUGUUACUAGGAACUGAAAGUCGGCCUGCGUGGGUUGGAGUAUUGCUCGCAAAUGGUGAAGAGUGGGAUAGAUAGCUGUGGCUGACCUGUGUGGUGCCUGGCCCAGGGGGCGUGAUUAGUGUCAGCUGCUAUCAUUGUUCUUAUUAUAAUGAUCCUUUCCUUUAUGUAGAGGUUACUUUAUGGGCUGUCAGUUAAAGCCUUGAAGGAAGCUAGUAACUUCCCAAGUAGAUGCCAUGAAGUCAGUGCAUUAAACUCGUGUAUGCUGCUUAGAGAGGGCUCAGGCCCUCACUCAGAGCUUGUUGGUGAUUAUUUUUCAUACUGUUCACAUAAAUUUAGUUACUUGAGUUUUAUAACAGCCUAGAAGUAACAAAUUGGGGCAUGAAUUUAGAGGUUCUCCAAAAGACAGAAAGCAGUUACAGUGUAAUAAAAAUAAAAUUUAAAGUGAUUAGUGAUGGUUAAAAAUGUGAGAUGAUGAAAUCUUUUUUUCAGAUUUAUUGAGGUAUUGUUUCCAUACAGUGUAAUGAAUCCACUUGCAGCAUAGCUUGAUGAAUUUUCAUAAUUAUAUAUAGUCACAUAGCCAACCAUAUCCUGCUAUAGAAAAGUUCCAUCAAGAAUCCUAAAAAUUCUUAUUUUCUUGUGUUUCUCUGCCUUGGCCGCCAGCCUCAAGCAGCCACUAAUCUGCUUUCUGUCACUAUAGUUUUGUGUUUUCUAGAAUUUCGUGUAAAUGGAGUUGUAUACUAUGAAGUCUUUUGGUUUGACUUCCUUUUGUUCAUGUUAUUGCACGUAUUAGUAAUGUGUUCCUUUGUAUCAUUUUGUCGACUGAAGAAAAAUUGCGCAACCUAAAAGUGGAGAACUAUGUUUUAUUCAGUGGACAUACUGAGGACUUCAGCCUGGAAGACAGGCUCUCAGGUCGCUCUGAGGGACUCUUCCGAAGAGAAGUCCCAUAGUUUUUGCUGUACGUAUAGAUCUGUGAUUUAUUUCAAGUUAAUUUUUGUGUACUGUUCGAGGUAAGGGCCAAAGUUUAUUAAAUUUCUCCCCAUAUAGAUACCUAGUUAUUCCAGCACCAUUUAUUGAAAAGACUGUCUUUUCCCCAUUGAAUCAUUUAGACUAUGAGACUUUGCUAUCAUUUGUAACCAUCUUCUUUCACCAAGAAUUUAAGCUUGACAACAGUGCUUAUUCAAAUAUAAAUAAAUCCAUCUUGUAUUCUUACUGGUAAGUAUAUAUUUUAGGAUGUUAUAAGAACAAUGAAGGGAACUGCUUUUCAGGGCUAAUUCAGACUAAUGAGGGGGUGUUUGUUGGUAAUGUAGAAGUGAUGGUAACUUCUUAGAAUCUGUCAAGUUCUAAGGAGGAAGGUUCAGUAACCAGUUAUAUAUAGGAAAGUGAUUUAGAAAAAUAUUAGUGUGAAGGUGGGCUUGCUUAUAUUCACAGACUCUAAAAGGAGACCUGAAUCAAUAAAAGAAAAAUCUACAAUGGCUAUUGAUUUUAAUGAGAAAGAAAAGAUAAAGGAAUUUACACAAAAUGAAGUAGCUGCUUAAAGGUGCUCUUUGAGUUCAAGGGCUUGAAUGAAAGGUAGAAGAAAAGAUUUGUAACCAGUAAUGAAUGAAAAGAGUAGUAAGUACUUACAAAACCAGUGUCAGGAAGGAUCAAGCGCAGAUGAAUUGACAUCUGUGAAUAGUGUGGAGCAUGUCAAAAACAUCUUAAGAAGCAUAAUUUGGUACCUGAAGGUCACUAAUGACCAGAUAGGCCUGCUGUUCAGGGCAGGUCAUGUUGUGUAAACGUGAGAGUGAGAGAGAGAGAGAGAGAGAGAGAGAGAGAGCGCGAGCAUCUGAGUCCCAGACUCUUUUGCAUCCAACUGCUUUUCUGUUUGGUCAAAGCAAAGUUAUCUUCAAACAGAUAAGGGAAUGGACAGAAAUGAGACGUAGUUGAAGCCCAAUGUAGGUUAGAAGGUGGUAACACCCUUUAAGUCAGGACUUUAGGUUAAGUCGAGUAAUAUAGUCUUGGAUGGUUUUGUAGUAAUUGUGAAUAGUCUUGUAAGGGUAAUAAAACAUGGAGAAAGUACCUGAAGAAUGGACUCAGAGGGGGAGAAAGGGGAGACUCUGGUAAUUAGAAAUGAUUGAGUUUCAUGAUAAUUUGAAUCAGAAUUCUAGCUUGAUUUUAUUAAAUAAUGGCUUAUGAAUGCAUUUAAAAGGAAGCAAUCUUUAGGAGCUUUUCUGGGUAUAAUAAGAAUAAACUAAUGCAACCUCCUUCUUUGUUGUUGUCACUGAAUAGACCACCUAAGGAAAUGUUAGAGAUAGGUUUUAUUUGGGUGUUAGAAAGGUAUGUGAUAAAGUCUUCUAUGAUGCCACCAUAGACUAGAAGUAAUUGGUCAUGUGAGGAUUUUAUAAUGAUUGAUGGAUCAUGUUUAAAGUAAUUUAUUUACAUCAGAGUGAAGGUCUUUGCCAGUGUGUCCUAGGGUCUUAGCUUAUUCAACAACUUUUUGGUGGCUAGAAUAAAAACUCAGUUAUAAUCAUUGGAUUUAUGAUGGAAGGAGGAGGGUACAGAGUUGACGAAGCUUAUAAGAUUAUGAAAUGGAGAUUUACAAAGAUCUUACAGGCUAGAAUAGUGGACUAAAAUGAAAAAAAGCUUGACUAAAAAAGAUAAAAUGUCAACCUCUACAUAGCAAUUGAGACAGCUCCUAAGAGGAGGUUGAGAGAUGUUACAUAUAUGCUAAAUUGGAGCGCAUUACGUUGACUUGCCAGCCUGGUUUGGUUGCAGAUCAAGGGCGGUAAUAGAGCUGUGGUUCUCCUCACCUCAGACUUUUUCUGGGCUGUCAUGUUGGAUUUAGGUGUCACAUUUCAAAGGGGACUUUAAUAAAAUGUCAUGUGUGCAGUGUGAAUAUAUCAGUGAUUUGUAUUUAUGGGUUGUCAUGUGCAAAAGCCCAAUUUUGUUUAGAACUAAAAGGAAAACAUUUCUAAUAAUAAUAAUUAGAACGUUUUAAGAUGGAAGGGGAUGACUUGUGAGCUUGUGAGAGUUCACCUCUGGAAGCAUUGAAGGUCACUGCAUUUAGAGUGACCACUUAUUAAGAAUGUUAUAGAGGGAAGGUCAUCAUUUGGGGGAGGUUGAGCUGGAUACAUUUUGAGGUUCCCUUUAAUCCCUUUAACUUUUCUUUUUAAUUUUGAUUUUUACUUAGGUACCUACACAAUCAAUUUUAUCAAUCUUAAAGACUUUAUUCAUAAUUAGUGUCUUAUGUUUAUAUGGCACUUAAAAGUUCUGGAAUGCUUUUAUGAGCCUGAUUAAAUGGGAUGUUUGCAAGAAUUCUACAGGUUGGACAGGAGAUUUUUACAAUUUUAGACAGCUGUAUCUUAAUUUAGAAUAUGGCUUCUGGGUUCUCGACAGUCUGGGCUCUGGCACCUGGCACCUGGCACCUGGCACCUGGCUGCGAGACCUUUGGAAAUUUCUGAAUGCCUUUGUUUUCCUCAUCUGUAAUUUGGUGAUAAUAAUAGUGACUAGACCGUAGGGUUGUUUGAGUUUACAUAUGAUCAUUGCUUGAGAAUAUACGCCUAGAACAUUAUGCUUAGCUUAGAGCAGUACCUGACACGUUGUAGACGUUUAGUAAAUGUUAGCUAAGCACUUGUUCUUAUCACCGUGUAUCUCUUGUACAGGUAAGGAGACUGAAGCUCACACAGGUUGUGGCCCAAGUUUACAUCAAUAAUAAGUGGUAGAGAAGUUAUUAAGAAUUCUGUUGAAUUGGAUUUAAAAAAUGGGGUAAAAUUACUGGUAUAUGGACAAAUUUGUGAAACAAUAUUGAUUUCACUUUAAUUUAUUAAGACUUUUGUGAAAUUAUUGACCGUAGAUUUUAGGAAAGCUAGGGUUUUUGUGGGUGUUUACGUAUAUACACACAUUCCAGACAUAAUUCAGUAGGAAGGCCUUUUCUAAAGCAUAUUAUAAAUAAAGAUAACCACAUUUCCCACAAGAUUUGUGGUGCUUGAUAGGGUUUGAAGGGAAGUAGGCAAUUAACUUUGGUUUCUGUUGGCUUUCCUAGUGCCAAGCAGCUUGAGCUUCUGAUUUCUAGAUGUGCUUAGAUUUCUCGAGGAACAUAAGUCAAACUGAAGGCAUCUCCUAGAAGAAAAAUCCACAUCGGCUCUCAUUUAUAAUAUUGAAGUAAACAGAAGAAUGAUCUCACCAAAACUCUGUUCUAUCUUUAGAUAAUCACCUCUUAGAAUUAGUUCAUUAAAUGCUAUGUAGUUUUCUGGUCUAGUUAGAAACAGUUUAAGUUGUGUAGUAACACAUCUCUUAGGGUAAGGAUACUUUUAUUCAUUUACAGGGUUGUAAACAUCUUGAGGGCAGAUACUGUGUUUCAGUAUUCUAUGCUCCGCAGUACUUGCAAAGAGCUUUGCACAUAGUGAGUCUGUGAAGUUGUCAAAGCAUUGAUGGCUUUAUUGGAAACCAAAGAACCCAUUAAAUUGGUUGUAUUAAAAAUGGUCAGUUAAAGUAACUUGCCAUUCACAGUGAUCUGUUGCCAUUCACAACAGAUUAUAAAUGUAAUCUAUUUGUCAGCAAGUUUAUUAAAGUUAUGUUCUUGAAAAGGACUGCAGUUGGCAAAAAAAGCAGUUGGCAAGAUCAGUGUCAUAAGGAAGAUAUGAGUUUAAAUGAAAAAAAUACCCUCUAAAGGGCUUUAAGGGCAUUUCAAAAACAUUAUAAACGCAAGUUUAUAAUGUUUUGUGGAAGAGAAUUUUUCCCCCCGGCCGGGUGGGGGGGGGGAGGGGGAUGGUUCAGGCAGUAAUGCGAGCCACGGGGGCAGCAGGUGAAGCUUCCCUUGCUUGCCGGCCGCUCACCUCCUGCUGUGCGGCCCGGUUCCUAACUGGCCGCAGACAGUCCACGUGGGCGGGGCGGGUUGGGGACCCCCUGGUGUAAGACAUCCAUUACAAAACCACCCAGAUUUGUCAGCAAUAAAAAUCCCCUCUGGUAAGUAACUGAUAGGAAAGUUGUAGUGUGAGUUGCUGAGGCAGAUUCUCCUGUCAGUUUUGUUAUUUGGCUUGUGCUUAUUUUUAAAGUAUGUGAACCAGCCCUAAAUAGCAUAAAAUAUAAUGUAUUAUCCUUUGUUUAAUUUUUGCAGUUCUCAGUAAAGCGCUGAUCCUUUUACAGAUUAUUGUGGUAGAGGGCCUAGUUUUCUAGCCAUAUACCGAGAAAAUAGAAUAUAGACCCUUAAUCUCCUCUUCCUGCGCUGACACAGACCCCCUGCCUGCAUGGGCUGCUGGAGGUGAAAGUAUUCAUUGGUUUUCAUUUGGUCACAGGAAAGAAGAAGUUUUGCAUUUGACAAUAGUUUCUAUCUCUUUGAAUUUCUGUUCUUCCUUUCCUUCCUUUAGAGCAGUAAAGACAACUGGAAGGUGAAUCCAUUCCAUCAGGAAAAGCUGAGGUGGCCUUGCACUUGAGAGGUCUCUGGAGACUAAAAUAAGGGACCAUCUGCUUGUGCAGAAGCAGCUAUGUUGGAGCAGUAGUAAAUCUUAAACCUUUUCCUGAGAAAGGAUUUUUCUCCUAUUAAUUAUCUUUACAGUUCUUAAAACUUUUAUGGGUUAUGUUUUGAUAAGGUGGCACAUGUACAUGGUAAACAAUUCAAGGUGUACUGAAGGUUAUCCAGUGAGAGAUAAGUGUCCUUUCCACUCAUCUCCCCCAGGACAUCCGCCGUUAACUUUGUGUAUUUAUGUACAUCCCUGACCCCCGUAGUGUGUUAUACACACUGUUCUGAACCUUGCCUUUUUUCUCCCCUCUAGUAUACCUUGGAGAUGAAUCCAAAUCAAAUCAGUACAGAAUAUUGCUUCAUGAUUUUUAACAGCUGAAUUGAUGAACAUUUAUGUCGUUUCCAAUCUUUUUUGCUGCAUUGUGAAGUUGGUCAUGCUUAUUUACUCAUAAAAGAGGAAUUUGGUUUACUGUUCUAAAUGCAUUCUGUAAUUUCAGAUAGUUUACUCAAUGAGUAGGUAAUAGUGCUUUCUAAGAAAUACUUUCCACAAUGAGAAGGAUGGCAGGUCUUUUAUGUAAAAUGUAUUUUUAUAGUCAGUCUCCUGGAGUGUGUGGAAAUUGGCAUAACUCAUCAAGUACAGUAUUCUGGAAGAGGCUUUGUCCCAUUUAAUGACUUCUUAAAAGAGUUUUAUUCUUCGACUGCUGUGUAAAAAAAAUGACUUAGAACCUGAUUGAACCUGUGUAUAAGUUUUUGAGGUAAAUUGAGGGUGAGGCAUUGGAGUGGGAAUGGGAUUUAUAGGUUACUGUCAAGAAACCUUAAAUGUAAAUUUUCAGGAUCUCCAGACAAGUGUUAACUGGAGCCUAAUGGCAGCCCUUUCCCCUUUUCUCUCAUCAGUCAGUUGCAUUUAAGACUUGUUUUGUUUUUGUCUUUAAAUCUUGAAUGUAAUGGUUCAAGUUUCUUUUGGAAAUCUAUACGCUACUACUGCUAUUUUUCUCAAAUAUGUUAUAUUCAUUAUUAGGAAAUUAAUGAAUACAUUAUAUAGGCACUUCAUAAUAUUAAAGGAAAAUAUAUUUGGAUGUGAUGAGACUUGUUUUUAAAAUUUGUGUUUUGAGCAGAAUUUUACAUCAUUAAUAAAAGACUUACAAUUACCAUUCUCUUAGUCAUUCAAUUCUGAAUGACCCAGGUAGUAAUGAAUGAAUACCUCGGUAAUAAUGAUAUGUUAAUGUAUCAAAAGAUGAGUUGUUGGUAAGUUUAUUUCAUUUUAUUUAUGGCCUCAAACUAAUUUUUAAUCCCCAAAUCUUUUCCUUUGCUUAUUUUCCUGUGUACGCUUAACUUUUGCACCAAGAGAUUACCUUCUGUUCCAGUGGAUGGGUGGGAUAUUAUGAAAAGAGAAGGGGAAGGAAAAAUGAUAAAAGUUAAAAGACCUGUCUUCCCUGCCCAACAUGACUGUUGCCAUAGGUGCUAUUGAAAUAGCUGUACUGUCACCAUGGACUCCAGCUUUUUAUUAGAAUGUCACGGCUUUGUCCACUUGUCCAAAUGGUGAGUUUCCACCAUUCUUGUAAGACCUGGGUCAGAUGUUGCCUUGUAGGUAAAGUCUUUUUCUGACUUUGCCUUUUUCCUAUUGGCUUCUCUGUAGCAUUUAAAAAAGAUAUCUGUUGAGGGGCAUUUAUCACAUUAUUUACAGCUGAUUAUUUUUCUGACUCAGAAAACUGAUUUUUAAAAAUAAAUUUAUUUAUUUAUGGCUGCGUUGGGUCUUUGUUGCUGCACGUGGGCUUUCUCUAGUUGCGGUGAGCGGGGGCUACUCUUUGUUGUGGUGCGCAGGCUUCUCAUUGUGGUGGCCUCUUUUGUUGCAGAGCACGGGCUCUAGGUGCACGGGCUUCAGUAGUUGUGGCACAUGGGCUCAGUAGUUGCGGCUCACGGGCUCUAGAACGCAGGCUCAGUAGCUGUGGCACGCGGGCUUAGUUGCUCCGCGGCAUGUGGGAUCUUCCCGGACCAGGGCUCGAACCUGUGUCCCCUGCAUUGGCAGGCGGAUUCUUAAUCACUGCGCCACCAGGGAAGUCCUGAAAACUGUGAUCUUUUUGAAGAAUUAUGUUUUAUCCAUAUGUAUUCACAGUGCAAUGGCAAUAAAUUAUGCUCAGUAAUUUUUGAAUUAAUACAUAUUGGAAGACUUAAUCCACCUCAUUUUUCCAAGGGAAAGCUGGUAUUUAUAUUCUUAAUCUGACCUUCAUUCACUUACAUGAUUGAUUAUUAGAUAUUUCAAAUGGAAUUUUUAGGUAUCCAUAGAGAUACAGCAGAGUCAUUUUGCUGACUGUAGAUGACUCUUCAAAAAUUGUUUCAUAGCUUUUCAUCUAAAACCUCAUAAAAAAGACUGAGGAGCAAGUCUUUUCUAGUCAGCAUACUCUUUUAUUAAAAAACUUAAAAUGUGUUUGGAAAAUUAAAAAAAAUUUUUUUUCUAACAUAUAUCAAUAUUAUAUCUUUAUAUUUUUUAUAAAAGCAUAUUUUAUAAUAAAAGUAGUAUAUGCCUAUUAUUGACCAUUCAAAAAAUACAAAAGUGCAAAGAAAAAAAUAAAAUUAUUCAUAUUUCUUCCUUUCAGAGGUUAAAAUGUUACCAUUUUGGUGCAUUUCAUUUCAGUCUUUUUUUCUGUUCAUGGUGUUUUUGUUUGUUUGUUUGUUGAUGAUUUGGUGCUUGGUGUUGGGAUAACUGUAGGCUUCCGCUGGCACACUUCUGGUGAGAUCCAUCAGUUAAGACCUCUGUGGGUCACCUCUAGAGGGGCUCAUGCUGUGUUACUGUAGCAGGCCCCUCAAUUCAGAAGUACUUCCAAAAUAUUGCCAGGUUGUUUUCUUUUUGAAGCCAUUCAAUUUUUUGUUUUGCUCAGUUUUUCUUCACCCCCCUCCCCCCACCCCAUCUGAUUUGGUGCGUUGGUGACAGUGCAUAGGGACAGGUGCCGGCCAGGCAGUGGGGCUCCCUCUGCGGCAGGUGACCAGCUCUCUCACUCACACACGGGCUGGUUCACACUCACACCUCAGGGACCUGCUGGUGGUUAUAUGCCGUGGCCUUUAGGAUAACUUGCUCCAGUAUUGAAACUGAAAUGUUAAAAACUGACGAAUACCAAGGAUGAGCUGGGGCAAAUCCUAGAGAGCAAAUCCUGAGGAACCUUGUCUUCGAAGAGUAGACAGAAGGGAAGGAAUUAACACAAAAUAUUGAGAAAAAGUAGCAAGGGAGGAAGAAGAAGAACCGAGGGCAAGGUGUACAAUGUAGGCAGAGUUUCAAGACCAAGGAAAUAUUUUGCAUUGUUCAGUCCAGCUGAGCUGUCACAGGAACGAUCCCCUCCUCUUUCAGGCCUUCCUCGACUCACUCAGCCAGCCUCGAUUGCUCUCUCUGUUUUGCUCUCACAGCGCAUGGCGUGUCCUUCUCCUGCAGCCUUUGUCGCCAUGUGGCAUGAGUCCCCCGCUGCUUGCCAGGCUCCCCGAGCGGCUCGCUCUGCGCCAUGGUCCUGGGCACCUGGCUGGCCCUCCAUCAACGCUGCUGAAUAAACACAUGGCUACAUACACUGUGCCUACUUUCCCAAUUUUUAAAAUUUUGUCCAAGGGUAAAGCUAAGGAAACUUUAUUACCUACUCUGCUGGUAGCCAACAAAAUGCCAAAAAUGCAGAAGAUUUGUUUCUUGGUCCUAGAUGGUUAUUUAUUGAAGUUAGGGUAAUAUUAGUGUACUACUGUGCUGAUGUUUCUCUAACCCAGCUUGAAAAUGCUUUUACUUAUAUUUUGGUAUUUGUAUAAGUCAAGAGUUAAGAAUUUGUGAAGGUGUUUGAUCUUCCUUUAAAUUAUACACAUUUAUGUUCCAAGAUGAUAUUCAGAUUGGAUUGAUAGAAUGCUUUUAGUAAGUGGAUGUUUUGUGAAGCAUCUGUGCCACCAUUGAAACAAUGAUGUGAGAACUUCACUGCCCAUUCCCUUAGCUUUGGUGAACAAUGUCUAUUUUGUUUUAUUAAGGUGUCUUUGUCAGGGAAAUACUGAAAUCUUUGUACAAUGUUUAUAUACUACCAAAUGCCAGUAGGAGAUGUGUUGGGAAUAUUAUUUUUUAAAGUUUGGUAUACUUUAGAGCUAAUGAAUCUUUACUCUGAAGAAAAUCAUGUGUUGUAUAUAGAAAAAAAUAAAGACGUGGUUGAAAGGGUUUGUAAAAAAGAAAAAAAGUGUAGGACUGGAUUAUAGUGAAUAGACGGUAUGAAUGAAAAACCAUGUAAGAUGAGACUGGUGUGGAGCCCCUGCUUCCUUGUUUCCUGCCCAGGGUCUGGCAGUUGGUAACUAGUAAAGCAUUAAAAAAAAAAAAAAAAAAAAAAA